GGUCUUAUGGUCUAGUGGUAUGAUUCUCGCUUAGGGUUCACCCUGAGUAUCGCUGAUAACAGCUGCUUGCGAGAGGCCCCGCGUUCGAGUCGCGGUAAGACCC